rnacentral:rRNA from 1 species
GUCGUAACAAGGUCUCCGUUGGUGAACCAGCGGAGGGAUCAUUGCUGGAACGCGCCCCAGGCGCACCCAGAAACCCUUUGUGAACUUAUACCUUACUGUUGCCUCGGCGCAUGCUGGCCCCCCCGGGGGCCCCUCGGAGACGAGGAGCAGGCACGCCGGCGGCCAAGUUAACUCUUGUUUUUACACUGAAACUCUGAGAAAAAAACACAAAUGAAUCAAAACUUUCAACAACGGAUCUCUUGGUUCUGGCAUCGAUGAAGAACGCAGCGAAAUGCGAUAAGUAAUGUGAAUUGCAGAAUUCAGUGAAUCAUCGAAUCUUUGAACGCACAUUGCGCCCUCUGGUAUUCCGGAGGGCAUGCCUGUUCGAGCGUCAUUUCAACCCUCAAGCAUUGCUUGGUGUUGGGGCACUGCCUGUAAAAGGGCAGGCCCUGAAAUCUAGUGGCGAGCUCGCCAGGACCCCGAGCGCAGUAGUUAAACCCUCGCUUUGGAAGGCCCUGGCGGUGCCCUGCCAUUAAACCCCCAAC